rnacentral:rRNA from 1 species
CCUACGGGAGGCAGCAGUGGGGAAUAUUGGACAAUGGGCGCAAGCCUGAUCCAGCCAUGCCGCGUGUGUGAAGAAGGCCUUAAGGUUGUAAAGCACUUUCAUUGGGGAGGAAGGGUAAUUUGUUAAUACCAAAUUACUUUGACAUUACCCACAUAAGAAGCACCGGCUAACUCUGUGCCAUCAACCACGGUAAU